rnacentral:rRNA from 1 species
GGAGAUGGCACUGAGACAAGGGCCCAGGCCUACGGGGCGCAGCAGUCGCGAAAACUUUGCAAUACACGAAAGUGUGACAGGGCUAUCCCGAGUGCCAUCCGCUGAGGAAGGCUUUUACCCAGUCUAGAACGCUGGGGGAAUAAGGAGAGGGCAAGUCUGGUGUCAGCCGCCGCGGUAAUACCAGCUCUCCGAGUGGUGUGGAUGUUUAUUGGGCCUAAAGCAUCCGUAGCUGGCUAAGUUAGUCCCCUGUUAAAUCCAACGAAUUAAUCGUUGGAUCGCGGGGGAUACUGCUUGGCUAGGGGACGAGAGAGGCAGACGGUAUUUCCGGGGUAGGGGUGAAAUCCUAUAAUCCCGGGAAGACCACCAGUGGCGAAGGCUGUCUGCUAGAACGCGCCCGACGGUGAGGGAUGAAAGCUGGGGGAGCGAACCGGAUUAGAUACCCGGGUAGUCCCAGCUGUAAACGAUGCAGGCUAGGUGUUUGGACGGCCACGUGCCGUUCUAGUGCCGCAGGGAAGCUGUUAAGCCUGCCGCCUGGGGAGUACGAUCGCAAGAUUGAAACUUAAAGGAAUUGGCGGGGGAGCACCACAAGGGGUGAAGCUUGCGGUUU